ensembl:lncRNA
GUCACAUCAUGCUUUUAUGACGAAAAAGGAGCUCAUUUACAAGACAGACGGUAUAUAAAACAUACAUUUAAAUUAAAAAAGAAGUCAUAUGUGUUCUAUAGACAAAUACAUUAUUGUCUUAUCCUUCCCUUUGAGACCAAGCAGCCAUGGGACUGAGCAAAACAUGGGCGAUCCCCGGAGAAAAGAAACAGCCGAUAAAUCCUAUUUUACUAUACCUACACUAUUUACAGUUCAACAGUCAUUUUCCUCUGUCAGACAUGGCAAGGAGGUCUACAGAUUGGAUGACAUGAUAUGGCUAAUAGAGCUAAUAUGUACAGUUCCUGUUCUUCUUCUCCAAGGAUCCACUUGCUAUGGCACAAAAUUUACAUGCUAGAAAUAUUCACGUACACACAGACGCUCAAGAAGCCGGAGAGGAUCAGAGUCCAGGUUUGGUAUUGAUUGUAUAACAGUCUCUUUGAUAUUAAUGAUUGAUCGUUUUAACGCCAUUCGACCUGAUAAGCUGCUGUUUUUACAUUGGCUCUGCAUUUAGUUGGAGCUCUCGGCACCCAUUCCUAGGUUUCAGCGGUCAGCGACAGUCACAUGAAAGAGGAACAAAUAUCAAAGAGUGAUGGAUGAAAGAUGUUCUGAGAUACUCAACGAGGUCAGUGCCAGGCUGAUAGAUAGAUAGAUAGAUAGAUAGAUAGAUAGAUAGAUAGAUAGAUAGAUAGAUAGAUAGAUAGAUAGAUAGAUAGAUAGAUAGAUAGAUAGAUAGAUAGAUAGAUAGACAGAUAGAUACUUUAAGUAUUAGUAUUAUUUUACCUGUUUGUAUUGAAUAAGAGAGCGCCAAGAAAUACAGAGCUAUACCAAAUGAAAGCUUCCUCUAAAGAGUGGGAGAGUGACAAGGUUCAAGAUAGAUCAAUGAAAGUAUGCCAUUAAUAAUCCUGUCCCCACACAGCAUGAUUGAUCAGUCCCACCAUCCUGCUUGGAAUAUCAAUAGCUUUAUCAACAGCUUACACAUCAGAGCAGAUCAUCUGUUUGAAGAUAGAUAUGUGUAAAAGUACAAUCAUCCCAAGUAAACAAAUGCUUCUUUAUAUAUAUAUUCGUGAAUGCCGGUGACUCUUUGCCCCCUGGCUUUAACUUGUACCAGAUUAAAACACACGUUAGUCGUUUCAGCCAGUCCCAUGGCCAGCGACGAUGGCACCCAUGGCUCUCUGUACAAGUGUAGGUGAGAGUUUGGCAAGACCAAUCACUGUAUACAAAAGGCAUGCAUAGAUUUAAUCUGCUAAGACCACAAGAAAGAAACUUGUUUUUUCUUCUUCUCUAGAGAGUAGCCGAUCAUUUGCUGAGCAGCACUUAAUCAUAUACAGAGAAAGAAUAAUGCUGUGAAGUUUUUUGGGGGGAGGGUUUGGUGAGACUGGUGGUGGGGGUUUAAGUGUGUAAUCUCCAGACUGAGUCAGAGCAGUUUGCUUUUUGAUGAGAUGGAGGCCUCUCCUGCUCCCACUGCAGGCAGAAACACACCCAGUGCCAAGACGGGGGACACGCUAUGGCUAUAAGAAAAUCAGUGAAGCACUGACUUAUGAAGCUAACAGUCAAUUUUCUCGCUUACCUGCUUGAGACCCCGAGCUGUUGCUUUGGUACAACAGCAUUCAGGAUUUGUUUCUCAUACUCACAGUGACCACUGGGGGUCAGUAUUG